rnacentral:misc_RNA from 1 species
AGCCAACCCAGCCACCUAGGAAGGAAAGAAAUUAUCAGUAGUAAGGUGGGUAGGCUUUGUAUAGAAACUAAUCAACAAUGUCUAGUCAUACAGAUUGGCCAUCAUAUAAUCGAAAAAACACGGAAAGAUAAUAAUAUCACUUUUCAAUAAAGAUUUAUAAUUCUUGAAACAAUACACCAACCUACCUACUGAGAGGAAGAGUGGAUUUCAGACAGAAUGUUCAACAUGCAAAUAAAGAACCUCAAAAAAAAAAAAAGGCAAAUACACACGUACACAACGUAUCUUACCUUUCAAGCCAUAAAUCAACUUCAUAAAAUUCAUUAAACAUGUAUGUGCUUUGGCACACACGCUCUAGAGACAUGCCAGCCUGUGUGCAUAUGCAUGAAGAAACAUGGGUGACUAUAAAGCAAUGGACAAUGUACUCAGCAUCUUUAUGGAAACAAGAGAAUAUAUCGAGAUCAUAUCCAAAGUUAUUCCUAUUUGUCAUAUUUGGCACUGUUAAAGGUUGGCAUUACUACUGAACACUACAUUCUUUUCACAUUUAUAUUUCUCAUGGAUACAUAUGGAAUGGUGCUGAUGAAUUCCAUAAAAAGAUUAGCAGAGCCGAAUAACUCCAAAAUUUCAUUUUUCUGCAGUUCAUUCUGGUUAGUCUCUUUCUCUCCUCUUCUUUCUUUUCAUGCGCUAUCAUGCAAGGUACAUUAAUUCCAUACAUGUUUGAAAUUAACAAUAAAUUGCAUUCAAACAAUUUGAUAACUCAUAUUUUUGCACCAAUUAUAAUAUAGCACAGUGACAUUAAGUCAUUGCAUACUACAUCAUUUGAUAUUGGGCACAGCAAACCAAGCAUCCAAUCAUUAGAUAAAAUUUUCAGUAGUAGUUUAAUUAAGCUGUAUGUUCAAAUACUUGAUAAGUUCAUGAUUGAAUUGUGCAUUGGAAAAAGAGAGAAUAUUAUGCAACAUUCAAAAUCCUCUGCAUACUUUUCUU